AAUAGAUACCCGGGUAGUCCACGCCGUAAACUAUGGAUGCUAGCUGUUAGAAGUAUCGACCCUUCUAGUAGCGAAGCUAACGCGUUAAGCAUCCCACCUGUGGAGUACGGUCGCAAGACUAAAACAUAAAGGAAUUGACGGGGACCCGCACAAGCGGUGGAGCGUGUUGUUUAAUUCGAUGGUAAGCGAAGAACCUUACCCAGGCUUGACAUCCUACUAAGGCUUCCGAAAGGAAACUGUGCCUUCGGGAAAGUAGUGACAGGUGUUGCAUGGCCGUCGUCAGCUCGUGUCGUGAGAUGUUUGGUUAAGUCCAUCAACGAGCGCAACCCUUGUAGUUAGUUGAAUUUUUCUAGCUAGACUGCCCUGGUAACAGGGAGGAAGGGGGGAUGAUGUCAGGUCAGUAUUACCCUUACGUCUGGGGCUACAAACACGCUACAAUGGCCAGUACAAAGGGCAGCCAACCCGCGAGGGGGAGCAAAUCCCAUCAAAGCUGGUCUCAGUUCGGAUAGCAGGCUGAAACUCGCCUGCUUGAAGCUGGAAUCGCUAGUAAC
rnacentral:rRNA from 1 species